CCUACGGGUGGCAGCAGUGGGGAAUAUUGGACAAUGGAGGAAACUCUGACGCAGCAAUGCCGCGUGAAUGAAGAAGGUCUUCGGAUUGUAAAGUUCUGUAGUCAGGGAAGAAGUCAAUGACGGUACCUGAAGAAUAAGCUCCGGCUAACUACGUGCCAGCAGCCGCGGUAAUACGGAGGGAUCAAGCGUUGUUCCGAAUGACUGGGCGUAAAGGGUGCGUAGGCGGUUGUAAAAGUUAGAAGUGAAAUACCCAGGGCUUAACUCGGGUGCUGCUCCUAAAACUGUAUGACUUGAGUGCAGUAGAGGUUAGUGGAAUUCCUAGUGUAGCGGUGGAAUGCGUAGAUAUUAGGAGGAACACCAGAGGCGAAGGCGGCUAACUGGACUGCAACUGACGCUGAGGCACGAAAGUGUGGGGAGCAAACAGGAUUAGAUACCCGGGUAGUC
rnacentral:rRNA from 1 species